rnacentral:rRNA from 1 species
AUUGAACGCUGGCGGCAUGCUUUACACAUGCGAGUCGAACGGCAGCGGGGAGGAGCUUGCUUCUCUGCCGGCGAGUGGCGAACGGGUGAGUAAUACAUCGGAACGUGUCGAGAAGAGGGGGAUAACCACCCGAAAGGGUGGCUAAUACCGCAUAAAUUCUGAGGAAGAAAGCUGGGGACCUAGGAAUAGGCCUAGCGCUUUUUGAGCGGCCGAUGUCGGCUUAGCUAGUUGGUGAGGGAAAGGCUCACCAAGGCGAAGAUCUGUAGCGGGUCUGAGAGGAGGGUCGGCCGCCCUGGGACUGGGACACGGCCAAGACUCCUGAGGGAGGCAGCAGUGUGGAAUUUUGGACAAUGGGGGCAACCCUGAUCCAGCCAUGCCGCGUGUAUGAAGAAGGCCUUAGGGUUGUAAAGUACUUUUGUUAGGGAAGAAAAGUCAGCUGUGAAUAAUGGCUGAUACUGACGGUACCUAAAGAAUAAGCACCGGCUAACUACGUG